AAAAAAAAGGCUUUAAGGAAGCUCAGUUUCUUCCGACUUUGAACUCUCAGUUCCAGCCAUUAUCAGGGAUUGCUUUAAGUUUUCAACUUUUUCUUUCUAUUCCUUCUUUCUUAACAGCAUCUCUCGAUACAUUUGGUGGAACCAUCGGCUCUCGUCCUCCAACUCCCGAAGCCUCUUCCUCAGAACCUCGGACUCCACCUCGGCAUCCUUGACCGCCUACUGCUCGUAGGCCAACUGAAUCUUCAGUCGCUGUAAUUUGGCCUUCUCCUGCCUGAGGGCCAUGGACAGUUCUUCCAUGGUCCCCCUCAAGGAGUAGAGCUCGUCGGAGCCUUGUACUGAAGCAACCUGGACUCUCUCGGACAACUGCCUUUCAAGGCGGGCAACUUCAUCGGUCGCCAUCUUGAGCCUCCUUCGGUAGUCGUCUACUUGCCCGCACCAACCGACUCGAUAGGUGUUGUAGUUUGCCUCGGCAUCCUGCAACUACUUCUGGAAAUCAGAGAAUUUCUUCAACCAGUCCUGAUCGUGGUCAGUCUGAGUUGCAAGCC
rnacentral:lncRNA from 1 species